rnacentral:rRNA from 1 species
UGUGUAACAACUCACCUGUCGAAGAAAGCAGCCCUGAAAAUGGAUGGCGCUCUAGCGUCCGGCCUAUACUCGACCGUUGAGGCAGAGCAGGUUUUUUUCAGUGCCCGUACGCUCUCAACGAGUAGGGGGGUGCAGGGGUGUGCAUGGAAGGGUUUCGAUGUGAAUCUACCUGGAGCCGCCCCUGGCACAGAUCUUGGUGGUAGUAGCAAAUACUUGAGUGAGAUCCUCAAGGACUGACGUGGAGAAGGGUUCCAUGUGAACAGCACUUGUACAUGGGUGAGUCGAUCCUAAGCCAUAGGCGAAAGCCGCCCCUAGACACGUCGGCCAUCGAAUCAUUUUUGGGGCCCGUCGGGGUCAGGCGAAAGGGAAUUCGGUACUUAUUCCGAAACCUAGCUGUGGGGGUUGUUGUGCCAUCUCCAUGUGUCACCUAGUCGUAAGACAAAAACCAACCUGGAGAAUCCGACCGAAGGGCCGGGAAGAGUUGUCUUUUCUGGUUAACGGGAUGGAUGACCUUGUGAAUCGGGUCGCUCGGAGAGAGGGUCUUAUCCCGAAAGAGCGCCGCGUUUCUUGCGGCGUCCGCGCUUCUUCGGUCAGGAACUUUAAAAUCCAGGGGGAGAAUCCACACCUUCACACUAGUUCGUACCCAUAUCCGCAUCUGGUCUCCGAGGUGAACAGCCUCUAGCCGAUAGAUUAAUGUAGGUAAGGGAAGUCGGCAAGUCAGAUCCGUAACUU